CUUUUGCUGGCGACCGGCGCACGGGUGAGUAACACGUAUCCAACCUGCCCUUUACUCGGGGAUAGCCUUUCGAAAGAAAGAUUAAUACCCGAUGGCAUAAUUAGACCGCAUGGUCUUAUUAUUAAAGAAUUUCGGUUAUCGAUGGGGAUGCGUUCCAUUAGGCAGUUGGUGAGGUAACGGCUCACCAAACCUUCGAUGGAUAGGGGUUCUGAGAGGAAGGUCCCCCACAUUGGAACUGAGACACGGUCCAA
rnacentral:rRNA from 1 species